rnacentral:rRNA from 1 species
CCUACGGGGGGCAGCAGUGAGGAAUAUUGGUCAAUGGACGAGAGUCUGAACCAGCCAAGUAGCGUGAAGGAUGACUGCCCUAUGGGUUGUAAACUUCUUUUAUAAAGGAAUAAAACGAGGCACGUGUGCCUUUUUGCAUGUACUUUAUGAAUAAGGAUCGGCUAACUCCGUGCCAGCAGCCGCGGUAAUACGGAGGAUCCGAGCGUUAUCCGGAUUUAUUGGGUUUAAAGGGGGCGUAGAUGGGUUGUUAAGUCAGUUGUGAAAGUUUGCGGCUCAACCGUAAAAUUGCAAUUGAUACUGGCAGUCGUGAGUACAGUUGAGGUAGGCGGAAUUCGUGGUGUAGCGGUGAAAUGCUUAGAUAUCACGAAGAACCCCGAUUGCGAAGGCAGCUUACUAAACUGUGACUGACAUUGAUGCUCGAAAGUGUGGGUAUCAAACAGGAUUAGAUACCCCAGUAGUC